rnacentral:lncRNA from 1 species
GCCGCUGCUGUAGUUCCCCGGCUGGAUGCGGUGACUGGUGCCAGUGCUCAGGCGCCCGCUGCCCUUGACCUCCCGCCCCGCGAGCCCUAACUCAGCGCAGGAGGACCGGCUGCCGCCGCCGCCGCCGCCAGGAGGUAGAUUGGGAAGUGGAGCUGGCCGUGGUCAUUGGAAAGAAAGGCAAGCACAUCAAGGUGUUGGUGUCACCCAUGAUCUAUCCUCCUGUAUGGCCAAAUCCCCUGCCCCCAUAGGCCACAGAUGCCAUGGCCCACGUGGCCGGCUUCACUGUGGCUCAUGACGUGAGUGCUCGUGACUGGCUAACAAGAUGCAAUGGGAAACAGUGGCUGCUGGGAAAAACCUUCGACACCUUCUGCCCUCUGGGCCCUGCCUUGGUGACCAAGGACAGUGUAGCAGAUCCACACAACUUAAAGAUCUGCUGUCGAGUGAAUGGGGAAGUGGUCCAGAGCAGCAACACCAACCAGAUGGUAUUCAAGACAGAGGACCUGAUAGCCUGGGUGUCCCAGUUUGUUACCUUUUACCCAGGGGAUGUCAUCCUGACUGGGACCCCCCCACCUCCACCCAGGUGUCGGUGUAUUCAGGAAACCUCCUGUCUUUCUCAAGGUCUCUGAAGGUCCAGACAGCACUGAUGGCGAGCUUUGGGUCCGCACACUCUGGAAAGAAGAGAGAAGUGAAGGCUCUAGGAGCCUGGGCUGACUGGUUGGGACUCACCGAAGAUCCCUUCUUCCUGGGCGGUGGCCUGCAGGAACUGGAACAGCUGCUCUGUGUAGCCCAACUCUGCAGAAGAGAGAAGACCUAGACCUGGCACCCAGCACAGACACAGCCUGCCUCGAGGACUGCAAGGGAACAAGGGCCUCACCAGUAUCGGGCAGCUGGCCCUGGCGGAGGAAGGCGGCAGCCUGUGCAAAGGCCUUGAGCAGCGGGCUGAGCAGGCGGCAGAGGAAAAGAAAGAAAUCUGGGCAGUGUGACUGCUGGCUGAGCUGGAGGGGACAGGCCGGGGUGAGUGCAGCUCCCCACCGCCUCCCUACCACCUCCCUCCAGGGGCAGCUUUUUGAAACACACCCUGAAGUACCGGCCGUCAGCCUCUCCGAAGUCAUCACUGUCACUAUCAGUAAAGUCCCCACUCGGUUUCCA